GUUAACGUAGCAAAAUCUGGCANAUGCAAAAGACCUAAGCCCUUUCCAUAGAGGCUCAAAUCCUCUCGUUAACU
rnacentral:tRNA from 1 species